UACAGGGGGGGGCAAGCGUUGUUCGGAAUUACUGGGCGUAAAGGGCCAGUAGGCGGCCAACUAAGUCACACGUGAAAUCCCCAGGCUUAACCUGGGAACUGCGUGUGAUACUGGAUGGCUUGAAUUCGGGAGAGGGAUGCAGAAUUCCAGGUGUAGCGGUGAAAUGCGUAGAUAUCUGGAGGAAUACCGGUGGCGAAGGCGGCAUCCUGGACCGACAUUGACGCUGAACGGCGAAAGCUAGGGGAGCGAAACGGG
rnacentral:rRNA from 1 species